CCUACGGGGUGCAGCAGUCGAGAAUCAUUCACAAUGGGGGAAACCCUGAUGGUGCGACGCCGCGUGGGGGAAUGAAGGUCUUCGGAUUGUAAACCCCUGUCAUGUGGGAGCAAAUUAAAAAGAUAGUACCACAAGAGGAAGAGACGGCUCACUCUGUGCCAGCAGCCGCGGUACUACAGAGGUCUCAAGCGUUGUUCGGAAUCACUGGGCGUAAAGCGUGCGGAGGCUGUUUCGUAAGUCGGGUGUGAAAGGCGCGGGCUCAACCCGCGGCCGGCACAUGAUACUGGGAGACUCGAGUAAGGGAGAGGGGACUAGAAUUCCCGGUGUAGCAGUGAAAUGCGUAGAGAUCGAGAGGAAUACUCGUGGCGAAGGCGGGUUCCUGGACAUUAACUGACGCUGAGGUACGAAGGCCAGGGGAGCGAAAGGGAUUAGAUACCCGUGUAGUC
rnacentral:rRNA from 1 species